UUGGGGCACCUGGGUGGCUCAGUCUUUUAAGCGUAUGACUCCUGGUUUGGGUUAAGGUCAGGAUCUCACGGUUUCGUGAGUUUGAGCCCCACAUCAGGCUCUGCACUGGCAGCACAGAGCCUGCUUGGAUUCUCUCUCUCCCUCUCUCUCUACCC